UGGGCCUUUGCUGAUGACCAGUGGUGUCUGAGUCAAGGGCGAUGAAUAAUGUGUGUCCGGACAUCUGAAGUCCAC